rnacentral:rRNA from 1 species
CAGUCGCCGCGGUAAUACAGAGGGUGCGAGCGUUAAUCGGAUUUACUGGGCGUAAAGCGUGCGUAGGCGGCUUCUUAAGUCGGAUGUGAAAUCCCUGAGCUUAACUUAGGAAUUGCAUUCGAUACUGGGAAGCUAGAGUAUGGGAGAGGAUGGUAGAAUUCCAGGUGUAGCGGUGAAAUGCGUAGAGAUCUGGAGGAAUACCGAUGGCGAAGGCAGCCAUCUGGCCUAAUACUGACGCUGAGGUACGAAAGCGUGGGGAGCAAACAGGAUUAGAUACCCCUGUAGUCCCUGUCUCUUAUAA